rnacentral:snRNA from 1 species
GGGUGUGAGGGGGAGCUGGCUGUGACAUCUGUUACCCUUUUUAUCUCCAGGGUUGAUUUAGUGAUCUGGAUGUCUAGAUAGGGGUCCCUUUCCUCCCUCACCACUCCAUGCAUGACCCUCCCAACGCUUUGCACUUGAUCAAAAACAUGACUUCUGGAUGGAGGAGGACCCAUCUUCAUCAAGGGUCUCUAAGUAGCUGCCUUCCUCUGCUAGGACCUCCAAACAAGCCCUCAAGAAGCAUUAUUAGACCAAACUACUUAAAAUGAGUCUGGUAUGAUAAAUUCCAGUAUUAUCCAGUUGGCAAUCUUACGAAGAUUUACCAUGAUU